rnacentral:rRNA from 1 species
UACAGAGGUCUCAAGCGUUGUUCGGAUUCAUUGGGCGUAAAGGGCGCGUAGGCGGGCAAGCAAGUCCGGGGUGAAAUCUUUCGGCUCAACCGGAAAAGUGCCUUGGAUACUGCUUGUCUGGAGGGAGGUAGGGGCAUGUGGAACUUCUGGUGGAGCGGUGAAAUGCGUUGAUAUCAGAAGGAACGCCGGUGGCGAAAGCGACGUGCUGGACCUCUUCUGACGCUGAGGCGCGAAAGCGUGGGGAGCGAACAGG